rnacentral:rRNA from 1 species
GACGAACGCUUGCGGCGUGCCUAAGAAAUGCAAGUCGAGCGGAAGAGUAGCAAUACUCUUUAGCGGCGAACGGUCGCGUAACACGUAAGCAACCUGCCGAAAAGACCGGGACAACAGCCCGAAAGGGCUGCUAAUACCGGAUGUGGCCACUGGGAGACAUCUCUUGGUGAUUAAAACGCGCUAGUAAUAGUGGCGGCUUUUUGAGGGGCGUUGCGGCCUAUCAGCUAGAUGGNGGGGUAACGGCCUACCAUGGCGACGACGGGUAGCUGGUCUGAGAGGACGGCCAGCCGGACUGGGACUGAGAUACGGCCCAGACUCCUACGGGAGGCAGCAGUGGGGAAUCUUGCGCAAUGGCCUAACGGCUGACGCAGCGACGCCGCGUGAGGGAUGACGCUCUUCGGAGUGUAAACCUCUUUUGCCUGAGACGAAUUGCCAGCUUUAGCUGGUUUGACUGUAUCGGGUGAAUAAGCACCGGCUAACUCCGUGCCAGCCGCCGCA